rnacentral:rRNA from 1 species
UUCCAGGCGUCGAGUGGCGGACGGGUGAGUAACGCGUAGGAAUCUGCCAGAUAGUGGGGGAUAGCCCGGAGAAAUCCGGAUUAAUACCGCAUAAUCUCCAUGGAGUAAAGAGGGCCUCUAUUUAUAAGCUUUCGCUAUCUGAUGAGCCUGCGUAAGAUUAGCUAGUUGGUGGGGUAAUGGCCUACCAAGGCGACGAUCUUUAGCUGGUCUGAGAGGAUGAUCAGCCACACUGGGACUGAGACACGGCCCAGACUCCUACGGGAGGCAGCAGUGGGGAAUAUUGGACAAUGGGGGCAACCCUGAUCCAGCAAUACCGCGUGUGUGAAGAAGGCCUGAGGGUUGUAAAGCACUUUCAAUUGUGAAGAAAAGUUAAUAGUUAAUACCUAUUAGCCUUGACGUUAACUUUAGAAGAAGCACCGGCUAACUCCGUGCCAGCAGCCGCGGUAAUACGGAGGGUGCAAGCGUUAAUCGGAAUUACUGGGCGUAAAGCGUGCGUAGGCGGUUGACUAAGUCAGAUGUGAAAGCCCCGGGCUUAACCUGGGAACUGCAUUUGAAACUGGUCAACUAGAGUAUGGUAGAGGAAAGUGGAAUUUCUGGUGUAGCGGUGAAAUGCGUAGAUAUCAGAAGGAACAUCGAUGGCGAAGGCAGCUUUCUGGACCAAUACUGACGCUGAGGUACGAAAGCGUGGGUAGCAAACAGGAUUAGAUACC